ACACCCCAAUGAAAAGCAACAGUUUCAGCUGUUUCCAUGAAUUCUGGUGAUGAAGCGUCUGUGAUGAUGGCUUUCUUCUCCUGCUCACGCAUGUUCUUAUGAAAGGUGAACGUCCUCACAAUCAUUCUUUAUAGGACCAGACCAAAUGCAGACUUUAUUCAGUAGGAUCUCAGUAAUGACACUUGUGUACGGGAAUCGGAGCUCACUAAAAAGAAUAGUGAAUCGAUGUCCUUUAGGGCCAUGUUUAUUUUGCAGUCAGUUCAGUUUUACAUUCAGUUUAAUUUUAUCUAUACAGUGCCAAGUCACAUAAACAGUCACUUCAAAGUGCUUCAUAUUGUGAGGUAGACCCUACUACUUCUACUACUACUACUAAUAUGAUUCCUUUGCUGCAUUUUCUAUGAUGUUUAACCCAUAUGGAAAAUAAAUAAUAAAAACUUAUAUGUGAUUACUCAUGAAAGUGGGUAUAUGAUUUACCCACUUUCAUGAGUAAAUCAUAUAAGGCUUACAUGAUUUACUCAUGAAAGUGGCCACUUUCUCAUUACUUUCAUAUAUUGUUUUAGUAAGUAUCCAAAACAUACAAGUUUCAUUAUAUCAUUUUUCAAGGGAUCUUAUAUCUGUUUUCACUCUUAUAUGCUUUUCAUACAAGUUUCACACAAGACAGAUACAAACUUUAUAAGAUUUAUAUAUAUCUUUUCCAUAUGGGAAGUUCAGGUUCUACUGUUUAGUCUUGAGUUUAGUUCUUUUUGCCUUUAAGUUUAUUUCUAGUUGGUGUUUUCUUGUCUCUGUCUCAUCACUGUCUCCUGUGUCGUUCCUCUCUUUACGUUUUAUUCCAUGUCUGCUCUGUCUGUGUCAUGUGUCUUUCCGUGAGCUAUCUAAAGUCUAAAUGAAUCACUUUACAAUACCACAUCUGACACCUCCGCAUUUGCAAGUCUCAAGUCAGCAUUUCUGCUUUACUGGAACAGGAGGAAAGUUAAGAACAUAAUGACACAAAGACAUGUUGUCAGGUGUGGUGCAGAAACGUCUUGAACUGGAAACUUUUGUCAUUUCCUCAUGCGUCAUGCUGAUGUCACCGUGAGACAUUUCAUUGACAAAAUCUUUCUUACAUAUCAAACAAAGCAGAGAUAUGAUCAGUUUAGACACAAUUCAUAGGAUGUUCU
ensembl:lncRNA